rfam:Schistosoma rodhaini strain Burundi genome assembly, scaffold: SROB_scaffold0000032
AUCCAGCUGACGAGUCCCAAAUAGGACGAAGUGUAUGUCCUUGAU